rnacentral:rRNA from 1 species
CCUACGGGUGGCAGCAGUGGGGAAUUUUGCGCAAUGGGCGAAAGCCUGACGCAGCAACGCCGCGUGGGUGACGAAGUCCCUUGGGACGUAAAACCCUGUCGGGUGGGACGAAAAUAUCCCGCAAGGGAGACUGACUGUACCAUCAAAGGAAGCCCCGGCUAACUCCGUGCCAGCAGCCGCGGUAAUACGGGGGGGGCAAGCGUUGUUCGGAAUUACUGGGCGUAAAGGGCGUGUAGGCGACCCGGCUAGUCAGUUGUGAAAUCCCCAGGCUCAACUUGGGAAUUGCAACUGAAACUGCCAGGCUAGAGUUCAGGAGAGGAGAGCGGAACUCCCAGUGUAGCGGUGAAAUGCGUAGAUAUUGGGAGGAACACCGGUGGCGAAGGCGGCUCUCUGGACUGAAACUGACGCUGAGGCGCGAAAGCUAGGGGAGCAAACGGGAUUAGAUACCCCUGUANUC